rnacentral:misc_RNA from 1 species
GGAAGUAAAGGUCGUAACAAGGUCUCCGUAGGUGAACCUGCGGAGGGAUCAUUACAGAGUUCAUGCCCUACCGGGUAGAUCUCCCACCCUAUGUUAUUAUUACUUUGUUGCUUUGGCGGGCCGUUAGGCUCCGGCCCGACUACCGGCCCCGGCUGGUAAGCGCCCGCCAGAGGACCCAAAACCCUGAAUAUUAGUGUCGUCUGGGUACUAUAUAAUAGUUAAAACUUUCAACAACGGAUCUCUUGGUUCUG